AAUAUUGGGCAAUGGGGGCAACCCUGAUCCAGCCAUGCCGCGUGAGUGAUGAAGGCCUUAGGGUUGUAAAGCUCUUUUUGGGGGGAAGAUAAUGACGGUACCCACACAAGAAGCUCCGGCUAACUUCGUUCCAGCAGCCGCGGUAACAUGAAGGGGGCUAGCGUUGUUCGGAUUUACUGGGCAUAAAGCGCACGUAGGCGGGUUGGUCAGUUAGGGGUGAACUCCCGGCGCUCAACUCCGGAACUGCCUUUAAUACUGCCAGUCUAGAGUCCGAGAGAGGUGAGUGGAACUCCUAGUGUAGAGGUGGAAUUCGUAGAUAUUAGGAAGAACACCAGUGGCGAAGGCGGCUCACUGGCUCGGUACUGACGCUGAGGUGCGAAAGCGUGGGGAGCAAAC
rnacentral:rRNA from 1 species